rnacentral:sRNA from 1 species
CACUAGGGGGCGCGUCUCUGAGGGCCGGGCCUGCGCCUCCGACGCUGACUUCCUCAGCGCAGCCACCACUGUCUCCGGUGGCAAGUCGACCAGCUCCUCCCACACGGAUUCUGUGUAGAAAUCCACGGACAAGGCUUUGCUUUUCGAAGAAAGCUGAGAAUACAGCAAAGUUACAAGAAAUUGCUACGGAAGGAAAAGAAGCCUCAAACGUCACUGGAAUCUCAAUUCACAGAUCGAUACCCAGAUAAUCUGAAACAUCUCUAUUUAGCUGAAGAGGAAAGACUUAGGAAGCAACCAAGAAAAGUCGACCAUCCUUUGUCAGAACAAGUUCACCAGCCUUUGCUUGAAGAACAGCGUAGCAUUGACCAGCCUUUAUUUGAAGAUCAGUGUAGCUUUGACCAGCCUCAGCCAGAACAAUGUAUUAAAACAGUGAAGUAUGUAUUUUCUUCAUUUGAAAUCCUUUAAGUGUUGUUUUAUUAUUUAAAAGUACUAUAGGAUAAUUUACAUAGGAAUUGGAUUUUUUCUUAUUUAACACAUUUUAGAAGUCACA